rnacentral:rRNA from 1 species
UACGGGGGGAGCAAGCGUUGUUCGGAUUUACUGGGCGUAAAGGGCGCGUAGGCGGUCAGCACAAGUCAGUUGUGAAAUCUCCGGGCUUAACUCAGAACGGUCAAGUGAUACUGCUGUGCUAGAGUGCGGAAGGGGCAAUCGGAAUUCUUGGUGUAGCGGUGAAAUGCGUAGAUAUCAAGAGGAACACCUGAGGUGAAGACGGGUUGCUGGGCCGACACUGACGCUGAUGCGCGAAAGCCAGGGGAGCAAACGGG